GCAGCAGUACUGUGUGGAUGCAUCCAGGCAUGGCAUCCUGCAGUGAAAGAGUAGACUAUAUCACCGACAGCACCUUGACUUCUAGACAUUUCAGUGACUAAACUGCAGCAAUGCCUCUAUCAACACUGACCUGCAAAGAAAAAAGAAAGUCACACAUCUGGAUAGCAUGAGGUGACUUCAUUGCUGGCUCGGAUCUGUUUCAUGGUUUGAAGAAGGGAAAAUGGCACAUUAGCACAUAAAUGCACAGUAGUCUUUUAAGGGCAGACGAGGGAAACCCUGCCUAGACCACUGGGACUGCUGGGUUGAAAGGG